GGCGCACAAAUGGCAUCAGUUUCCUCGAGUCCUCGAACUGUAGAGGAGAUCUUCAAAGAUUACAGUGCUCGUCGCGCCGGAAUCGUUCGUGCUUUAACUAGCGAUGUGGAUGAAUUUUACGGGCUGUGCGAUCCAGAGAAGGAGAAUUUGUGUCUAUAUGGACACUCGGAUGAAACUUGGGAAGUAACUCUCCCAGCUGAGGAGGUUCCACCGGAACUCCCUGAACCUGCCCUUGGUAUCAACUUUGCUAGGGAUGGGAUGAACCGAAGAGAUUGGCUUUCUUUAAUUGCUGUGCACAGUGAUUGUUGGUUGCUCUCUGUUGCUUUUUACCUUGGAGCUAGGCUUAAUCGUAAUGAGAGGAAGCGCCUCUUCAGCUUGAUCAAUGAAUUGCCGACAGCUUUUGAAGUGGUAACAGAAAGAAAGCCUGUAAAAGAUAAACUCAAUGCAGAUAGUGGAAGCAAACCUCGUGUUGGAACAAAGAGAUCCAAUGAUGGCCAAGUCAAAAGCAACCCUAAGCUGGCUGAUGAAAGUUUCGAAGAAGAGGAAGACGAACAUACUGAAACAUUGUGUGGAAGCUGUGGCGGUAACUACAGUGCAGAUGAGUUCUGGAUUGGUUGUGACAUCUGCGAGCGAUGGUAUCAUGGGAAAUGUGUGAAGAUAACACCUGCUAAAGCCGAGAACAUCAAGCAAUACAAAUGCCCCUCCUGCAUGAAGCGCACUAGGCAGUAGCUGUCAUGAUCAAACUGAAGAUUCAUAUUUCCUGACAAAGUAGUUUAACAAUAUGUGUUUCAACAUUUUAUUCUGAAUGGGUGUUGCAAGGUCGCCCGGCCACAGCAGCAACAUGGGCUCUCACCGGUCGAACAGCUUGUCCAAGGAGAGGCUCAAGUGGACGAAAGAGCUGCACGACUUGUUCGAGAAGGCAGUCAAUCAGAUUGGAGGUCCAGACAGGGCAACUCCUAAAGGUAUUCUCAAGGCUAUGGGUAUUCCUGGGCUGACUAUCUUUCAUGUAAAGAGUCACUUGCAGGUUUCUCUAUCUCUCUGUCUCUACUCGUGUACAUCCGGAUGUAUGGUGCAUCCACUCUAAUUACGGUUCAUUAAUCACUCAGUAGGAUUUAUUAAUCACAAUUCAGAUAUUUAUAGUCUCUUUCUAAAAUUUGUUUUGUUUGUCUUUUCAGAAAUACAGGAUGUCAGUAUUUACUCGAGAAGAAGACUACACGAGUAAAUAAACUAUACAUUUUUUUUUCGAAAUUGUCGAUAAUUUGUAGUACAUGUUUUGUGAAGACCAUGUUAUCAAAUUGAACUGACGGAAAGUAGCUAAUCAAAAUAUCAAACUCGGAUAUUAUAACACGACCUUCCAUCGAUUAUUUGUGCGUGCGCUAGCACUUAAAGAACACAAUCUCUUUAUAACGUGCAGAAGGGAAGCUUGAUAGACGGAGCGUAUCGGAGAUGCUGCCCAACUUCAGUGCUAUCUCGGGUGCACAACUAAACGAGGCAUUACAGACACAGAUGGAAGCCCAGAGAAGACUCAGCGAUCAGCUU